GUCAGUCAACCAAGAAGAGCUGUGGGGAUGAGAAGAUAUCCUGGUUUCAAGAUAAAAGAGUCAGAGAUUAUCCAACACUUUUGGCACAGAGGCCGUGUUAGAAAACAGCAAGUCACUUGUGUCAGACGCGAUAUAUAAAACCAUAAAAAGUGACUUGAAGGUACCGUUGCUGUAGAAGCCAAAUUUUAUGUGUGAAGUGCUAACUGUUAGCUGACAGGCUAGCUGUAGGAGCCAUUGAAGCAAUGGCGUUGAAAAGAAUUCAAAAGGAAUUGUCAGACCUGCAGAGGGACCCACCGGCUCAGUGCUCUGCUGGACCAGUUGGAGAUGAUUUGUUUCAUUGGCAGGCAACAAUAAUGGGCCCAAAUGACAGCCCUUAUCAAGGUGGAGUGUUUUUCCUCACCAUUCAUUUUCCCACAGAUUACCCCUUUAAACCACCAAAGGUUGCAUUCACAACGAAAAUUUACCAUCCCAAUAUCAACAGCAAUGGAAGCAUUUGUCUGGAUAUACUCCGAUCUCAAUGGUCGCCUGCUCUUACAGUAUCAAAGGUAUUAUUGUCUAUCUGCUCUCUUCUUUGUGAUCCAAACCCGGAUGACCCACUGGUACCAGAGAUUGCUCACAUAUACAAAACUGACAGGGAAAAGUACCACAAAUUAGCAAGAGAAUGGACACAGAAGUAUGCAAUGUGAGUGCCAGCGAGAUCAAAUUAACAAAGGAGAAGAAAAACAGGUUUGAUUGGGAACUUUGAAGCAAAUGAGAGAGAAAAACAAAACACUAGAAAACAGCCCAUCAUUUGGAGGAGGAAGCGAUGCACUGAGGUACAACGGCACCCGGCUUUCCAUGUGCUGAGCUGAGACUAUGUGCUUCAUGACUUGUAUGGAUCUACUGAGUGGGACUUGACGGGCUCCUUAAAGCACUUCCAUAUGGAAUAUCAGAACCUCUUCAGUUCAUGCCGCCUCACUCAGACUAUAAACUGUUAUUCCUGCUAUUGUGGUUAUCGUCACUGUUGCUGUUCAUGCUCAUUUUCACCACCAGUGAGUUGUGUCAGGGUACUAAAAUGGGGGUAGGGAUAACAAUUCCAUUAAUUUAAUAGAAUGGCUCUCAGUUCACAUCUGCGAUAUAGUCUGUCUCUCACCGGAUGUCUUUUUGUUUCCAUGUUUACGGUGGCCUUUUAUUUCAUUUGGAGCAGCAUCCAUUCAUCUUGAGACAGAAUGUUCCCUUUUUCAACAUGAAAUGGUGCAUUGACAUCACCAGCAGCUGAUCUAUUGGCACCUGCUUCCUGUACCUCAGAACAAUGUGAAGGGUGGUUUGUAACGCGGACUGCAUUUGGAAGUGUAAACACCAUUUGGUCGCGGUAACAGUUACAUCUUGUCCCACUGUUGUGGGCGCUUAUGGACAAGAGGCAUGGACAGACGUCAUCUUACUCGUUAUCAUUGCCGUUAGAUUCCCUAGAAGCACUGGUACCAAUGCUGCGUUCCACAAGUCAGUUCCAUCAUUUGUGACUCAAUACUUGAAAAAGUACAAAGGAACAGGACUUGGUCAGAGCUGCUACUGGAAAACUGGGAAUGUAAAUAAUCCUUGCAUAGCCAAAAUGUCAUUUUCAUGCAUGGCAUAGAAGUAACAUAUUCUAAAUACAAUAAAACUGGUUAUGUAUGUACACUAAUUUCGAAACCAGUGUUACUGGUUAGUUAGCUGCACAAGUGCACAAAUAUGUGUAACAAUUCAAACUGUGAUGAUGCUUGGGAUUGUAUUUGUUUAACAGCAUUAAGUCAUGUUUCUGGUUUGCAUUGGGUGUAAAGCAGGGCCGUGGAAUGCUUUGAGGUCAGAAUGGUGGUUUUAGAACCAGGAACUAAAAAUCUUUUAACUUUAAUGGAAUUAAUCUGCAUAGUGGAAACCCUGAGCUCAGCAUGUUUUCCAGCCCUCUGCUGUGUCACCGAUGCCUGAGUAGCUGUGGCAGUUGGUUUGGCUUAAUUUCGCUGAGCUGGUUGAACACACCUGAUCUGCUUAACCAGUUCUUGGUGGAGGAGUUAAAAAUGGAAAGUAUGCAGCUCUGUGCAUGCAGAACCACGAUUGGCUGAAGCUGUUGUCGUCAUGUGCACUGUACUGUUGUAAAACCUUUUCCCUGUCGUGGUUGGAUUAAAGCUAAAGUUUGUGCCA